AUGAGAGGUUUGCCAGCAGCUCACUGGAGGGAGGGCGUCGCCAUGUUGGAAGCAGAGGAGGCCGCGUCCGCCAUGGAUCCAGUGGGAAUGAGGCCGCCGCUGCCGUGGAUCCAGAGGACAGGUAGGCCGCCGCCGUGGAUACAGGGGGAGGAAGGCGACGUGACGGUGGAUAUAGUAGCAGGGGGGCCACCGCCGCGGUGGACCCAUGGUGAGGGAGGCCGCCGGCCUGUGGAAGCUGGCGGAUGGAGGCCGGCGGCGCGCUGGACUGGAGGGAGCCAGGGGACGAAUCAUUGGGAGGAAUGGGAGGGUGCUGGUACUGGCGGCGGAACACGAAGUUCUUGGUGGGCAGCGGCGCGCAGGAUUCCAGUCGGUGGUGUGCGGGUGGUCCCCGGCGACGGGUGGCUCCGGGGUCUUCGAUGGGUAGGUGGGCCGGGGUCUGGGAUCGAGGGAGAGUGGGAGGUGAGGGACGGAUGGUAG
rnacentral:rRNA from 1 species